rnacentral:rRNA from 1 species
GACGAACGCUGGCGGCGUGCUUAACACAUGCAAGUCGAACGGAAAGGCCCUGCUUUCGUGGGGUGCUCGAGUGGCGAACGGGUGAGUAACACGUGUGUAACCUGCCCUUGACUUUGGGAAAACUUCAGGAAACUGGGGCUAAUACCGGAUAGGAGCUCCUGCUGCAUGGUGGGGGUUGGAAAGUUUCGGCUGUUGGGGAUGGACUCGCGGCUUAUCAGCUUGUUGGUGGGGUAGUGGCUUACCAAGGCUUUGACGGGUAGCCGGCCUGAGAGGGUGACCGGCCACAUUGGGAUUGAGAACCGGCCCAGCCUCCACCACGCGCCACCGGUCGAGAGUAUUGCACUGUGGGAGGAAGCAUGAUGAAGAAACGUGGCGGGUGGGAUGACGGCAUUCGGCUUGUAAACCGCUUUAGCCUGAGACGAAGCGAGAGUGACGGUAAUAAGUAAAGCAGCACCGGCUAACUACGUG